rnacentral:lncRNA from 1 species
GCGAGUUUCGAGACGGUAGUACGGAUGCGCGAGACGCGAGACGGUAGUGCGCAUGCGCGACAUCAUGGACAGUAGUUCGCAUGCGCGACAUUAUAGACGGCAGUACGCAUGCGCGAGCCUGGAGACGGUAGUACGCAUGCGCCACAGCAUAGACAGCAGUACGCUUGCGCGAGUUUCCAGAGGGUAUUACGCAUGUGCGGCAUUACGGACAGCAGUGGCAGCAGAUACCGUGGCAACAACAACUCCGCCGCCUUUUAGCGGACUGCCUGGGACCGUGGGCGCGCAUCCCCUUCUCUCUUUCUUUUCUUGGCAGAGGAUGGUGGGGGGAAGAAGGGGAGACGACAAAGAAAAGCAAGGAAAACUUCGACAAACCCUCCAACCCCGUGCUAAAUGCUUUGGUAUACCUGUAAAUAAAUGAAUACAUAACCAGCAAGUUGUUGUUGUCAUGCCUUUUUUUUUUUUUAAUAUGUGUAUGUGUAUACAUUUAUAUAUACACAUGUAUAUACAUAUUUCAGCCAGCAUCUGAGGUGAUGAAAAAACAUGGUAUGAAUUGCACGCAGUGAAGCCAAGGGUGCCUUGGAACAAUUAACA